UCUAGGGCACUUGGAUCGAUUGUGACAAUACAAAUGGACAAUGGGUAGCCAGUCACCGGGCUUGUAUUGAAGGAUUAAAAAUUAAUAAUAAGCCGCCUAGCUACCCAAAAAGAAGAGGUAGGGUCUGUGAGAACAUGAACUUUUCGCCCCUCCCUUGCUGUACAAUGGUUCCCGGAACAUUCUUGCAUGAAAGGUUUCCUGGAACAGCCACAAUGACCCAUAGCCUCCGGCCACAAUGGUCCAAUGGCCCUGUAAAAUGUCACUACCCCUAAUCACAAUGUCACAAAGUCCUAAAUUGUAUGGGCAGUUUAUGGUUUUGGAAUUCCCCUCCUCCCUCCCUCUUGAUCCCCCUGGUUUGUGGUUUUUUCCUUUAUAAGCUCUGUGAAAAUUCAGGUCGGGGUCGAACUCCUCUACUCCCUGUGUGGUGUAUGAGUCUCGACCCCAGCAUGCUGGCCUGAGCUCUCGUUUCAUCUCGCUCACAAUAAAUCUUCCUCGUGUGAUUACAGCAGGUCGGUGUCUGUGUCCUACUGGGUGCGCGUCUUUCCCGAGACUUGAGUGGGGGGCUCCCUUCGGGGGUCUUUCAUUUGGGGGCUCGUCCGGGAUCUGCGCGACCACCCAGGGGUCCUAGACCCACUUGGAGGUAAGAUUCUCUGUUUUAUCUCAGCGCUGUGUCUGGGUCUGUGUCUAUGUUCUGUCUGGGAAUCUGGUGCGAUCGCUGUUUCGGUUUUGCGGACGCUCAGUGAGACCGCGCUCCAGGAAGGAGAGCGGGGUGGAUAGGGAUAGACGUGUCCAGGUACCCACCGUCCGUUCGCCCUGGGAGACGUCCCAGGAGGACAAGGGGGGACCAGGGACGCCUGGUGAACCCCAUCUGAUAGGUCCAGAGGAGACUUUACUCCUUGACGACCGGUUUGUUAGGCAAGGUCUGCGACCUGCCGAUCAGUUUCAGUGCCUCUGGUCGACACGAAGUCGACGUCGGUUUUGUUUUGUUUUGUUUUGUUUUGUUUUUUUCUCUUUUGUUUGUGCUCGUGUGUGUGAGUGUGUGUGAAUUAAGUCCUGUAGUCUGUGUUUUUCGGUACCGGUUUAAGGUCUUAGUGCACUGUCUGGGCAGAUGAAGGUUUCCUGCCCUGUGCACGGGUGGAAGAAGGUUCCCCACCCCGAAAUGGCGCCUGUGAGUAGAUGAAGGAUUCCUACUCCGAAUAGUCUUUUUCUUUCUUUUUUUCCUUUUUAGAAAGCGCACCGGGGGACGCCCCAAUCGCGCAGGCUCUGGGACUCGUGAGAGACGUUCCACGAGUCAGCCUUUGUUGGGUCCUGGCUCUGGGACGCGUGAGAAACGUUCCUCGAGCCGAAUUUUGUCGGGAGGACCCGGCAACGGACAGUCAAAAAGAUCUGACUGUGACUUUGGAGGUCGAGUUCGGCUGCCUAUUUAAGUAUAGGCACGGACAAGUGUGCUUAGAUGUGUUAGUGUCUGUUGUCUGUAUUCUGUUUCUGUGUUUGGUAUCCCGGAAGCAGCUAAGGUUAAGCUGCAGUUUGGGCCAGGUACUGAAGGUACCAGGCAUCUGUGGAAAUUGGUUAUAGGAUGCUUUGUCUUGGUCUUGUUUGUCUGGAUUGUUUUCUGUGGUAUUGUCCAGUGUCUUUUUGACUUCUUUUCGUGUUUGAAUUUGGACUGACGACCGUGUUUAAAAUCUUGGACUGACGACUGUGUUUGAAAUCAUGAAACUGUUUGCUUUGUUCGUUGAAGAGUUUUACUUGGUCCCCUUAAUGCUUAGUAAGAAACUUAAUCUUAUGGACCCCGCUCUAGUGGCGGUGUGUUGGUUGAUAGCCAAAGUUAAUUUUUAAAAUAGUGUUUUAUCUGUGCUUGUGCUCGCAGCACACAGUAGAGGGGAGCGAAAUUAGCUGCGGAGCUGCUGCAGCGAGCAUGGGGACUUCUCAAGUCUCACCCAAUUUUUCUGGCUCUUCAGGAGCUGUUUAAAAGGAAAAGGCUUAAGGUAAAAAGAAACACUAUAGAGAGAUUUCUUAGUGAAUUACUACACCUUGGUUCGCGAUCUCUGGGAAUCUCAUGGUGGACAGCUGAGAUAAGCUGGAAAAGGAUUUAAAUUUUGCUUGGGAGCAAAGAAUCUUAAAGGUGGAGUUUCAGCCGGUAUGACACUUAGUGCGUAGCUGCCUAAAAGAUCAGAAAUGCUGUUAAUAGGCUAUAAAAAAAAGGGACAGGCUGUGUUAGAAAUGCUACAGAAGAAUAAUCUAAAAAGGCUGAGAUCUAGGUGGGGCUAUAAGGAAAACAAGAAUAGGAAAGGAAUUUCUGACAUUUGCUCACAGUAGGAGAGCACUCAUUUAGAGAAGUUCUUUAAGGAAGCCUGCCUUAUCUGCUGUCUUUAUUCCAAGGGAGGAGUCAGUCUCCAGCACUAAAUUACUUGGAGGUAGCCAAGGUCAGGAUUAAUGUUUUCUUUUCCAUGGGCCUUUAAACCCAGUGAGACAGUUUGGUAAAGGGCUACUACUGAGGUCCUGAUAGCCCCAGGUGAACUGGUUACAAUUCUUUUAUCAGCCCCCUGGCAUCUAGCACCCAGGUUCUAACCAUCUCUCCAUCCUUUUGUUAUUAGUUGUUACUAGAAGCCUAGUGUCAUUUGGAGGCUGGUUCUCUUGAGAGGCAAAGCCAUGGAGCUGACACUGACAAUGGCCUUUUUGUUCCAAGAAAGGCCUCCUGGUUUAGCUGUGUGACUAAAUGCUGUUUGCCCUCUUCGGUAGACUCUAUUCUCAAGAUUCUCUUGUUUUCUCACCAUCCCACGUGAGAUGCUUGUUAGUAACUGUUACAGGUCUUCUUUACCACCGAGGAAAGACAGAAUCCUACUAGAGGCCUGAAAGAAUGUUCCAGACAUGGCUAGAAGGCCCUCACUUCUGCCUGCUCUCUUCAGACGCCUGAAGGUAGGGAGUGCCAGGUCUGCCCCCAGGCUCCAAGGGUCGGUCUCCUAGGGGCUGGAAAAUGCCCCACCAAUCUGGCUAAGAUAAGGAAAAGAUAUGAAGAGAAAGUUACAGAAACUUGAAGGGUUAAGCUAAGUCGCUGAGAGAGUUAUUGUAAGUUGAUGCAUGGUUCAGGGUAUGUGCAGAAAAGUGGACAGCACCUAAUAGCUGUAGAAGAAGAUGCAGAGAGACAGAAAAAAAAGAAAGAAAGAAAGAAAGAAAGAAAGAAAGAAAGAAAGAAAGAAAGAGGUAAAGAGUGCAGGAAGCUAGGGAGGAAAAGAGACUAAAAGAAGAGGAAGCUAGAGAGCUAAAGAGAGAUAAAAGACAAGAGAGGAACAUAUACUGGCCACAGUAGUUAGGGAACCUAGGAAGACAGUACCUGGCAACAGAAGAGAAUUCCUGGCUAAAGAUCAGUGUGCCUAAUGCAAAGAAAAAAAAAAAGACACUGGGUCAGGGACUGCCCCAGAAAGAACAAGAGGGGACACUGGAGAGCCUCUUGGUCCUAGAGUGCUGGCUAUGUACAGAGAUAGAAGGGAAGUGUGGAUGCAGGGACCCAAUGCUCUGUGCUCCUAUGCCCCCCUCCAGUGGGCCAAUAUCCAAAGACCUUGGGUACAGGGGCCUACUGGCAACAAACAAUACUUAUGGACUGCCCGAAGAACAGUGGACCUUGGCGUGGGCCGGGUAACCCACUAGUUCAUAGUCAUCCCUGACUGCCCCUAUCCCUUGCUCAUGAGAAAAUUGCUCUCCAAAAUGGCUUGCGUGGGCUGAAAUGGCUGGGUGAGGCCAUGUGUAUGCAUAUCUACAGACUGUGUAUGUGGAGCUUAAGACCUGUCUCAGUGCACCAGUACCUGAUGCUGGGAGAUGUGUGACUUUGUCCUGAUCUGCCUGGAACACAUCACUCCUGCCAGCCGGGCACUAACAAUUAUCACCCAAUCCAGGACUUAAACUGUGAUAGAGUGGCUGAUGUUCUGCCUUUGAAUAGAGUGUCCCAAAAGAUGGGACCACUGGUCAGCUGCCAUGGACUAGAUUCUCCACCUGUUGGGGGCAAUCUGGUCACCUUGCUGCCCAAUCCUGACCUGGAGCCACCACAGCACGAGUGUCAAGCACUGGCAGAAGCCCAUGGGUGGAGGAAAGACCUCUGCGACUGGCUGAUUGACCCCUGCUGAAACCUGAGGACCUUGUCCACAGACGGGAACAGUUCUCUUCAUGAAUGAAGGUCAGAGACAAGUGGGUGCUGCCAUGGUGGACAACACAAUGUCAUCUGGGAUGGCUGAACCUCUACCCCCCCCAGUACAUCAGCGCUGCAGAUGCCUUUGCCAUCUCUUGGAUGUCCUGAUGAAGCCAACAACUGUGAGUACUAUUCAUUGCUCAGGAUAUCAGGAGGGAAGAGAUUCAGUGACAUGGGGCAAUAACGAAGCAGAUAAAGUGGCUCGAAAAAUGGUUAUGCAGGAGCCCAUCCUGGUUGCAGGCCUGCAAGAGACAGCCACUGGGAACUGGGAUCGGACUAAGGGAUGGCCUCACUUAGAAAAGGCCCAAAUUGCUUAAAAGAUAAAGGACAAUGGCACAUUGAGGGGAAAGCUAUACUCCCCAGAGAAUAAAGGAAAGACUCACUUUGCCAAAUACAGAAAUGGACUCAUUUAGGAGAUAAAAAGUUUGUCCAAGUAGUUAAGUGUAUGUAAUAGACUUUAAGAUUUUAGCCAGAGAGACAGUAGAAAGUAUAAGGUAUGUCAAUAAGUGAAUGCUUAGCAAGCAAACAGGGCAAAGAGACCUAGAGAGUUUGGUGAAAAGUCGAAGUGAACUUCACUGAGAUAAAACCAGAAAAAUAUAAUCACAAGUAUCUCCUAGUGCUUGUAGAUACUUUUUCAGGAAUAGAUAGAAGCUUUCCUCACCAAACAAGAGACGGCCUCUGCAAUCAUCAAGAAGAUACUGGAAGAAAUCUUCCUCUGAUUUGGAAUGCCCAAGGCUAAAAGACCUACAGGUGAUACAGAAAGAAAUCUGCUCACAGCUGACAGCAGCCUAUGCCCCGGAGACCCCUGAGACAUCCCAUCAGUUCCAGGUUGCAGCUACACUGAGUCCAGACACUCGAGCCUCGCUGGAAAGGACCGUACCUGGUGCUGCUGACCACCCUGACAGCUGUCAAUUCUCAGCCCUCACCAGCCAUGUACUAGCUGUUGGGGCUGAGAGCUAGAGGGAAACUCAGUCAUGUUUGUCCUGGGUUCUAUCAAGAUAGGUGUGGGAUAGGCUUGAUUUCCAUUACAAAUGAUGUAACAUUGCAUAUGUUAGUACUCUUAACACUUCUUGGGACUGUGCCUCAGGGAUCACAGUCCGUAUAAGCUUAGAAGUUCUAAAAGCUAGUCAUGACCUUGGUGGAUAGGCUUGGAUAGUGUCCAGGUUAGAAUCCUCAUGUUAAGACUACAAUACCAAGCUGUUAUGCUAGAUGAAGCUGAGUUCUCCAUGAAGUUCUAGGAUUAGAACUAUUAACAAAAAGAAGAAGUGGGGAAUGAAGGAUUAAAAAUUAAUAAUAAGCCGCCUAGCUACCCAAAAAGAAGAGGUAGGGUCUGUGAGAACAUGAACUUUUCGCCCCUCCCUUGCUGUACAAUGGUUCCCGGAACAUUCUUGCAUGAAAGGUUUCCUGGAACAGCCACAAUGACCCAUAGCCUCCGGCCACAAUGGUCCAAUGGCCCUGUAAAAUGUCACUACCCCUAAUCACAAUGUCACAAAGUCCUAAAUUGUAUGGGCAGUUUAUGGUUUUGGAAUUCCCCUCCUCCCUCCCUCUUGAUCCCCCUGGUUUGUGGUUUUUUCCUUUAUAAGCUCUGUGAAAAUUCAGGUCGGGGUCGAACUCCUCUACUCCCUGUGUGGUGUAUGAGUCUCGACCCCAGCAUGCUGGCCUGAGCUCUCGUUUCAUCUCGCUCACAAUAAAUCUUCCUCGUGUGAUUACA